GCCUACAUCCCAAACAAACAACCACAAAGACAGAAAGAAAAAGACAUCAAUUCCUGAAGCAGAGAAGGAUGAGCUGAUAGCCCACCAUUAUCAGAAAAGAUCUCCCCCCAGGAGAUCAUUACACACCUUCUUUUUCUUCUUUUUCUGGGUUUUUCGACUUGCAGAACUCUGGAGAAGAGCCUGGAAGACAAGAGGAAGGCAAACGCUGAGAAAUGUGGGACAGACAAAACUCUCCGCCUACUCUGGCAAUUCUUUUCAGGACUUGCCAUAGCCUCCGUGCGGCACCACGAGCAUGCGCCACCACACUCAGCUGCGCAUGUUUAAACCACUGCUACCCUCACGCAGAAACGUGUUCGGGGUUGCUCUUCUGUACUGUAUUCAACAAGGAGAUGGGCAGAAGAGGACGUGCACCCAGGCAGGAGCUACAAGUCUGGGCAGGAGGGAGGGCAGGCUGAGGGAAGGGAGGGUGCUUCUGGGUGUGCACACUGAGUCAGACUGGUUCCAGUCCUGUUCUUGCUCUACGCAGUACCUUAAAGUAAACGGCAUGGCAUCAAAA